rnacentral:rRNA from 1 species
CAGCAGCCGCGGUAAUACGAAGGGGGCUAGCGUUGCUCGGAAUGACUGGGCGUAAAGGGCGCGUAGGCGGUUGACACAGUCAGAUGUGAAAUCCCGGGGCUCAACCCCGGAACUGCAUCCGAUACCGCCGUGCUAGAGGAUUGGAGAGGUAGCUGGAAUUCUUGGUGUAGCAGUGAAAUGCGUGGAGAUCAAGAGGAACACUCGUGGCGAAAGCGAGCUACUGGACAAUAUCUGACGCUGAGGCUCGAAGGCCAGGGUAGCGAAAGGGAUUAGAUACCCCCGUAGUCCCUGUCUCUUAUAC